rnacentral:rRNA from 1 species
ACGCUAGCUACAGGCUUAACACAUGCAAGUCGAGGGCAGCGGGUCGAAAGCUUGCUUUCGACGCCGGCGACCGGCGCACGGGUGCGUAACGCGUAUCAAACCUGCCUCAUACUCGGGGAUAGCCUUGCGAAAGUAAGAUUAAUACCCGAUGUUGUUGCUUUCUCGCAUGGGAGAGUAACCAAAGAUUUAUCGGUAUGAGAUGGUGAUGCGUCCGAUUAGGUAGUAGGCGGGGUAACGGCCCACCUAGCCUUCGAUCGGUAGGGGUUCUGAGAGGAAGGUCCCCCACACUGGAACUGAGACACGGUCCAGACUCCUACGGGAGGCAGCAGUGAGGAAUAUUGGUCAAUGGGCGAGAGCCUGAACCAGCCAAGUAGCGUGCAGGAUGACGGCCCUCCGGGUUGUAAACUGCUUUUAGUUGGGAAUAAAAAAAGGGACUUGUCCCUUCUUGUAUGUACCUUCAGAAAAAGGACCGGCUAAUUCCGUGCCAGCAGCCGCGGUAAUACGGAAGGUCCAGGCGUUAUCCGGAUUUAUUGGGUUUAAAGGGAGCGUAGGCGGAUUGUUAAGUCAGCGGUUAAAGGGUGUGGCUCAACCAUGCAUUGCCGUUGAAACUGGCGAUCUUGAGUGCAGACAGGGAUGCCGGAAUUCGUGGUGUAGCGGUGAAAUGCUUAGAUAUCACGAAGAACUCCGAUCGCGAAGGCAGGUGUCCGGGCUGCAACUGACGCUGAGGCUCGAAAGUGUGGGUAUCAAACAGGAUUAGAUACCCUGGUAGUCCACACAGUAAACGAUGUAUACUCGCGGUUUGCGAUAGACAGUAAGCCGCCAAGCGAAAGCAUUAAGUAUACCACCUGGGGAGUACGCCGGCAACGGUGAAACUCAAAGGAAUUGACGGGGGCCCGCACAAGCGGAGGAACAUGUGGUUU